UGACUCGUGGGGCACCGCCUGUGUCUUGUCCCACACACCCAGGAGCUGCCGUGACGGAGGCCUGACUCGUGGGGCACCGCCUGUGUCUUGUCCAACACACCCAGGAACAGAGGCCUGACACAUUGGGCGCCCGCGCUGAUAACGACCAAGACUGGAGACCGGACCAGGAGUGGGAGACAUCACGAAGAGUCACACGAAGAUAGAUAGGACAAUUUAGGUCAAGGAAUGCUGUAUAAAGGACUUAAGGAGUGUGUCACUUUAAUAGCGGCGAUGAUAUUGUGCUUGGUUCAGUGUGUUAGUGAGGAUAGGCUAUCACUGGUUAGCUGGUAUUGGUAGAGCGAGGCACCACCACAGUGUAAUAUAUCAAGUUAUUUAUAUUACAGCAACACUUACAAAUUAACUCAUCCUUUUCCCAUCAAGCAAUAGUUCUAACACCUUUAAUUUAAUGAUUGAAUGUUUCCUUGAAAUGCCAGAAUUUUCUCUUUUCUCCACUCCCACACGAUCUCAGCGUGUAACGAAACACACGAGGAAUUAAUCCAGACAAGGAAAGGUUUUACCGGCGCCGGGGAUCAAACCCGCGACCAGUGUAACGGGAGAGGCACUCCUUUACCAGUCUGCCAAAGAGGUAUCCACCCCUGGCUAAGUGAGUUAUGGAAGGCAAGUCAGCAUUACAUCCUUCCUUCUUUUUUCAUUUCCUUGUUUUCUUUUUGACCCAUUUGCUCUGAUUCUUCGUUUUUCUUCAGUUUUCUCUCUCAACCAUUCUCUCUCCUCCUCCUCCUCCUCCUCUCUGUCUAUCUUCAUCCUUUCCUUCCUUUUAAUAAGUCUUAAGUGAUCUUUUACUUGACAUUUUUUUCUGGUGGUCAAAUCUUGCAUCUCGUUUUCAUUUUGUCCAUUCUCUAUCCUCCUCCUCCUCCUCCUCCUCUCUGUCUUUCUUCAUCCCUUCCUUCCUUUUAAUAAGUCCAAGUUAUCUUUUGCGUGACGUUCUUUCUAAUGGUCAGAUCUUAAUCUCAUUUCCUUUCGUUCAUUCUCUCUCCUCCUCCUCCUCUGUCUAUCUUCAUCCCUUCCUUCCUUUUAAUAAGUCCAAGUUAUCUUUUGCUUGAGGUUCUUUCUAGUGUGUUUGUGGUGCCCGGCUCUGCUCACCAGUUUGUUUUGUCACUGUAUAAUUGUCAGUCCUAGUUUGUUUUGUCACUGUAUAAUUGUCAGUCCUAGUUUGUUUUGUCACUGUAUAAUUGUCAGUCCUAGUUUGUUAUGUCACUGUAUAAUUGUCAGUCCUAGUUAGUUUUGUCACUGUAUAAUUGUCAGUCCUAGUUAGUUUUGUCACUGUAUAAUUGUCAGUCCUAGUUUGUUUUGUCACUAUAAUUGUCAGUCCUAGUUAGUUUUGUCACUGUAUAAUUGUCAGUCCUAGUUUGUUUUGUCACUGUAUAAUUGUCAGUCCCAGCCAGGCGCCUCUUCCAUGUAAAGAUAUCGGCAGCUUCAAGCCUUGCCGAUAUCUCAAUCCGUACAUGAAUGUGAAUUAACCGAAAUUCUAGCUAAUGUCUGCAUGGUGCUCUCUCUCAUAAUGCUGCUUUAAAUUUUCAAUCUCACUCACAAUCCGGGGUUAGUAAUAUAUUUUGUUGCCAUGAGUUAACUCCCCGUGAUGGCCAGUUUCAUGCACUAUACAUAAGUAAUUUUACUUUCGCAUAGCUAUAAUUCUGCACCCGUGUCUAAGCGCCAAUUUCACAGUUCUCCAUGACGGGUUAGUAAGCUCCCAAAUCAGUACCAGAGCCUUCAAAAUUUCCCUGUAUAGUGUCUGGUGUUUAUAUUCAAGUUCACAAAUUUGACGAAACUAUACAGGAAAGGUUUUAUAUUAUUCAUGAUACGAAGGAAAGGGAAGAGAAGGAGAUGAGAUUGAGAGACGAGUGAGCCGAGAUCCUGCUUAUAUUCAAGUUCACAAAUUUGACGAGACUACAGGAAAAGCUCUGUGUUUAUGAUAUGAAGGAAAAGGAAGAGAAGGGAGAUGAGAUUGAGAGAUGAGAUACUGUUUAUAUUAAAGUUUACAAAUUUGACGAAACUAUUCAGGAAAGGUCGUGUUUAUGCUACGAAGGAAAGGGAAGAGAAGGGAGAUGAGAUUGAGAGAUGAGAUCCUGUUUAUAUUCAAGUUCACAAAUUUGACGAAACUAUUCAGGAAAGGUCGUGUUUAUGCUACGAAGGAAAGGGAAGAGAAGAGAGAUGAGAUUGAGAGAUGAGAUCCUGUUUAUAUUCAAGUUCACAAAUUUGACGAAACUAUUCAGGAAAGGUCUUGUGUGUUUAUGCUACGAAGGAAAGGGAAGAGAAGGGAGAUGAGUGAGCUGAGAUCCUGUUUAUAUUCAAGUCCACAAAUUUGAUGACACAAUACAGGAAAAGCUCUGUGUAUUUAGUGUCUCAUCGAAGACCUCACCAUUUUGAACCGUAUGGGAUUCUAUAGCUUGGUUCGGGAGUGUUACGAAGACUGUUGGACUGUGGAAGCGGCCCUAAAUGUUCCCUUUUCUAAUAUGCCUCUCUGUUUUGCAGGAUGCCCCGGACGGACCGUGCGGAGGACUCAUCGCGACGACACCGACGGUUUGGUUUAGUGGGUUCUCUUGUGUGUGCGUUUGUGUGUGAAUGGCAGGCCUGCCGUAUGAUUGUGUGUGUGUGUGCGGGGCGGUAUGCCUUUGCACUAUUAUUUUGUUAGGAUGUAUUUUUGUGUGUGUGAACUUUUUGCACGUAAUCUUUUUUUAUACCCAUAGUUAGCGUUUGUGUGUGUGGCUGUGUUCCGGGAGAUGGACGCCGGGGGACAUGGGCUUGGGGAGGCGCAUGUGACCUCUUCCGUCCGUGACCUCUUCAGCUGGGGAGACCGCGUGUUGCCCCAGUCGGAGAGACACGUUGAUGGAGGCGGCCGCGUGUGUCAUCCCUUGCCUGUAUCCUCUGGCGUCCAGAGGCGCGUAAGUGGAGAGCAUCGGCGCAGCGCGGGAGCAGCACGUCAGGGUGUAGGGUGUUUGUUUAGCUGGUGUAGGGUGUUAGGGUGUUAGGUGUAACAACGGUUGGCUCUUUCACAGAACGGGUGUGAUUCCGUUCUGCGUUUGAGUCUUCCACCUUCAGGCGGUCUCCCUCCGAGAUGUCUGAAGUUUUUUUUGUCGGUUUUCUCCGUAGGAGGAAGCCGGCUCUAGCUACUCUGGUCUCUCUUCCGGGGGCCAGAGCGGUCGGGCUCUGCUUGGCCAGGCGUGGUCUCUCGCCUUGUCUCCGUCGAAGUUUUGCCAGACUCUUCCGUACGGUUGAGCCUGGCUUUUUUAUUAGGUGGAUCAGGCUGCCUUCUUCCAAGGAGUCUGAUGGGAGUGGAGUCUUUUUUUUGGUGUAUGUCUGUGGGUGCUUAGUGGGUAAGGGCGGGUGGGGUAGAAUGGUUGGUGGGCUGGAAGUGGGUUGGGGGAUGAACCUUCUGGGAUUUGGGUUGUGUCGAGCCUUACCGCCUGGUGUGUUGGGUACACCUUCACACCAGGGGGGGGGUGCCAAGACCAUAUCCAUCUCCUGGGGCAGGGCGAUUCCCCUUUCCCAUGCCAACUGGCCCUCCUCCGUCUGCCUCCCCAAACCCCCGCUGAGUGCUUGUGUGUGUUAUUUUAUUUAGGAUGUCUUUUUUUUCUAUGCCUUUUUUCCGUGUGUUUAUACCCAAUAGCUAGCGUGUGUGUGUGUGUGGCAGUCCGGAGGCGCGUGCAGCGAGGACAUCACUUCACUACGGUAUAACCACGGUAUUUGGUUUAGUGUGUGCUGUGUGUGUUUGUGUGUGUGAUGGCAGGCCUGCCGUGUGUUUGACCUUUUGCUGUGUGUUGCUGUGUGACUGCUAGGAUUUCAUUUCUAUGUAUGUUUUUUUCCCCAUAACCCCCUUCCUCCCUAGCUCUUUAGCUGUUGUCCCUGGUGAGGCGCUGGAUGGAUGCUGCCGGGCGAGCAACGGCGGUGGCGGUGUGCGACGCGGGAGCAGCUGAGGUUUGGGUAGCACUACGGUGCGGGUUAUGUAGGGUGUGUGAGUUUUUUUUUUGUGUGAGUGUCUUUUUUUUGUGUGGGGUGUUGGCGGGGGACUUAGCUAAUCACUGUGUCAGGAAGGCAUGGGCGUGACCGUCUGUCCAUCAGGCCGACGGGCGGGUGUGCCACCUGGCAGUCAGGCUAGCAGGUGACAGGCAAGCUAUCUGGUGGUUAGGCUGGCAGUCGGGCCAUCAGAUAGGUAGGCAGGCCACCUUGCGGUCAGGUUGUCGGGCGGGCACGCCACCCUCGGUCAGGUAGGCAGGCAGCCGCGUCUACGCUGAACCGUACGGCCACAAGUACGAACGCACGGAACCCGUACGCUACGUUCCGCCGCACUGACGCUCGUCGUACCUCUGCUCGCACGCUUGCGGGCGGGUGUGGGGGGCGGGGGGCGGAUGGGCGGACGGGCGGGCGUACGUGGGAACGGGCGGGCGGACGGGUGGUCGGGCGGGUAGGGAGCCGGAGCAAGGUUAGAGAGACGCGCAAAUAGAUGUCAGAUUCUCCCGUAGGGAGGUCUGGCAAGGUGAUAGUGUGGGCGGCGGGGUUUUACGCGGGUGAGUCCGUGUUAGAGCUUUGCUGCCAAGGUAGUUCCUUCUGAGCUACCUGAACUGAGGACCAGUUUUCCUCACAUGAGGAGGCUGGUGGAGUCUAGGGUGUUAGGGGUUCAACGGUUGGCUCUUUCACAGAACGGGUGUGAUUCCGUUCUGCGUUUGAGUCUGCUGGCUUUGGGCAUCUCCCUCCGAGAUGUCGGUUAGGAUUUCUUUUUUUUAUAUGUCCGUGUGUGUAACUGUUGCCUUUUAGCUUGUUGUGUUCCUGAGCAGCAAGAAGAGGAGGCUGUGGUGACCCGCCCGAUGCGGAAGGCCUCUGGGCCUUCUCGGCGGGGGGCGCACCUCUCUGGCUGACUGGUUUAGGGAGGGCUUCCCGUCUGGCCGGCUGCAGGUUCGAUCCCAGGAUUGAACCCAUGGCUUGCCAGAUGGGGGGCUGCGCCUUUGACCAGGUGGCCGGGGAGGCGCCCCCUCGCUGGGCAGGGUCUGGGGGCCCUCCGUCUUGGGGAGGUCGCUGCAGCAGGAGGAGGUAAUUACCGCUGGUUUUGUAAGGCAUAGUGGUUGAGAGCACCUUGCAGAUGUAACGUGAAUUUCGUUCCGUAAUAAACAAUGUACCGCCAUGCUGCCUGUCCUUCCUCCCUCCCAGCACUGUGCGUACGUCUGUGUGUGUGUGUGUGUGUGUGUGUUGCUUAAUUCUCCCUCCCAGCACUGUGCAUACGUCUGUGUGUGUGUGUUGCUUAAUUGUCCCUCCCAGCACUGUGCAUACGUCUGUGUGUGUGUGUUGCUUAAUUCUCCCUCCCAGCUCUUUUUUUGACAAAGAUGCCGUGACCACUUUGUAUGCAGGCUUUUUUUUUUUUUUUUACUUUGUUACCCUUGAGUCAUCUCCUUGGUGGUACUGGGAUGCUGCCUGUUACUUCUCCCUUCCUGCCAGCCCAUCAUUCUCUCUCUCUCUGUCUCUGUCUCUCUCUCUGUAUCUAUCUGUCUAUCUGUCUCUGUCUGUAUCUGUCUCUGUCUCUCUCUCUGUCUAGUCUGGACCAUGGGGUCUGUGUGGUCUGAUUUUCUAUGUAAAUCUAUCUAUGUAAAUCUAGUUAGUAAAGAACACGUAACGAUUGCCGUGGAAGACUACAGUAUACAGAAGACUCUACAGUAUACAUCCCUUCCCUCCACGGUCGCCGCUGCUCUACCCGGGCAUUGCCACAUCCACUCGGGUCUACAAGAAACCAUCGCGGCCAAGCUUCAACCACAGAACACACCGUUACCGUUGAUGAGGUUUGACGCCCCGGACCACCGCCAUGGUAGCCUCGAUAAUAAUCCUCAGCGCACUUAUUCUGAGACAUCCUAGUGAGUGAGUCUUAAUUGCUUUCAUGUAUAAUAUCACAGGUAUCCAUUGGUUCAGUUUUCAAGUCUGAUAUUUUCGUCAAAGUAUCGCAAUUUAAAUAUCCAAUGAUUAUUUCCAACUCGCUGAACAUUCGUCACACACAGUACAAACACUAAUUAAUAGCCAUGAUCGGUUAUGUUACGAAUUCUCUCAAUUUCAGUCUGGAGAACUACACAACACUGGUCAUUCGCUGAGUGGUCGACUUCCUGGUCUAGCCCUGGAUGUUGGCCAAUGCACCACCAAGGGUUUGGCACAUCCACUCAAGUCUCCAAGAAACCUUCGCGGCUGAGCUUCAAGCAUAGAAUGUUUUGGUCCAGCCCUGGAUGGCCUGGUCGUUCAUAUGGAGGAGAGGAUUCAUACAUGCGAUAAGGCUCGGAGAACAUCGUGUACGAGGUCAUGAACGGCAGAAUGUUGGGUAGCAAGAAAGGGGUCAACCUGCCUGGCGUUCCUGUUGACUUGCCCGCUGCGUCUGAGAAAGAUCGCAGUGACUUCCUCCUCGGGGUCAAAAUGGGGGUGGAUAUGGUGUUCACGUCCUUCGUUAGGGAUGCCGCAGGGGUCAGGGAGGUCAGGAACAUGCUGGGUAAGUCUGCCGAGGGUUUGGUUCUGUCCGAUUUGUUGUAUGAUUUUAUUUUGUAUGUCUCGGUAAUGCUGUCUCUCUCUCCCCAUGACCUGACAUCUGCCCCCUUCCCCUAGGUGAGGAGGGGAAGAACAUAAAGAUCAUCAGCAAGAUCGAGAACCACCAGGGCUGCAAGGACAUUGACUCCAUAAUAGAGGAAGGGGACGGCAUCAUGACCGCUUGUGGUAACCUGGGUAUUGAGGUUCCCGCCGAGAAGGUCUUCAUCGCACAGAGACAGAGACUGGUAAAGUGUAACAAGGUGAGAGGAGGUUAUGGUUAUACCUGUUGCUCUCCCUGUCGAAUAUAGCUCUCUCCCUGUUGCUCUCCCUGCCAAAUCUCUCUCCCUGUUGCUGUCCCUGCCAAAUCUCUCUCACUGCCUCUCUCCCUGUUGAAUCUAACUCAUCUCCCUGCCUCUCUCCCUGUUGAAUAUAUCUCUCUCUCCCUGCCUCUGUUCCUGUAGAAUGUAGCUCUCUCCCUGCCAAAUCUAGCUCUCUCUCUGCCUCUGUCCCUGUUGAAUAUCUCUCUCUCUCUCCCUGCCUUUGUCCCUGUUGAAUAUCUGUCUCUCCCUGCCUCUGUCCUCUGUCUGUUGAGCUGGCUGUGUGGGUCUACCACUGGCAGCAGAAACAUGAACAUCCUUAUACCUCAUGACUUGUGACCGUGUUCAGCACAGAGUUAGUACCAUUACCUCACGACUUGACGGUGUUUAUUACAGGGAUGGCACCAUUACCUCACGACUUGUAACGGUGUUUAGUACAGGGACAGGACCAUUACUUUACGUCUUGUACCAGUGUUCAGCACAGGGAUACGGCACCAUUACCUUACAACUUGUGACAGUGUUCAGCACAGGGAUAGCCCCAUUACCUUAUGACUUGUAUAGGGAAGAACGGCUGUAAUUUCUGAUAAUAGAUUUUGAAGUGUUCGUCAGAUUAUUGGCAGACUAUCGAAUACUUUCCCCUUGUGUUCUAGUAUGAGCGAGAAUACUUUGAUUUAUAUCUAUUUAUUUCAAUACCAAUACACACAAAUACGGUAUUCGAAUGUAUUGGAAUAAGGAUACCGGAUACCAAUACUCCAUCCCUGGUAAUGGUGGUACGACAUGUCAAAUUUCAAUUCCCUGAUAUAUUUAUCAUCACUGCUCCUUUCUGUAUCAUAAAAAAAACUAAUUAUCAUGAAUUUUGUCUUGUCAAAUACUAUACUGGCAGAGUGCAUAACCUGUUUUCUUAAGCCACAGUUUCUUAGCUGCAAUAAGGCACUAUCGUAAGGUUUGUUCAAUGAUACCAGAGAUUAUUAAUACUCAAAUGCUUACUGACAAAGUGGAAAGAAUGCCUCAGAUCUGAGAUGGGAAGUACACUGGCCCCAUAAUACAGAUUACAAUAAUGGUCUAUGGCAAUGACAGUCUUUAGUAACCCCACUGAAACCUGUAC